AAGGGCCAGAACCACCAGGUGAGACAGAACCACCAGGUGAGACACCACCUGCCCUAGGCUUCCUCACCCCCACAACCCCAGCGCCUGGGGAGAGCAGGGUACUCUCCACAGAGCUGGGGUUCCAGCCUCCCGGGCCAGGUACCCAAUGAGGAUACUCGGGGCCACCCGAGCCCUAUCCCUCUUCCAGGGUCUACGCUAAUGCACUGGACUAAUGCAAUAUCUAAAAUUUGGGUGAUGUGUUUGCAACUCUGGUCAAUGUCUGUUUCCAGAGGGAAGAAGUUACAAAAAGUUUACGAUUAUUGGAUUUGAGAACUAUCCGAAGAAAAUUUAUGAAAUCAUUUUUCUUUAAAGGAAAUGUGUGUCCAGGAAAAACUGUUUAAAGAGUUCUUUUCAGACUAAAAAAAUUAUAUAUAUACAUGUAUGUUAUUAAAUCUUUCCUUAAUAAUUUCUCUUCUGCAGUGUUUCCUGGUCUUAGAUAUGUAUAUAUAUACUUAUAUAUAUAUAGUUGUGUAUGUAUGUAUAUAUAAUAUAAAUACUUUAUAUAUAUAUAAUGAGAUCACAUAUUACAAGGAAACAGAAAUUUAUAAUAAUAAAAAAUUACCAAAUAUUAUAAGCUGAGACUUAACAGUUUAAGUAAGAGGGAAAGGAAGGGGGGAAAAAAAACUGGCUGUAUUACAAAUCCCUCCACCCCAGCAUGUUUUAGGAACACUAUCCAAAGGUGAGAGAUCUUGAGGGGUUUGGGGAGGAGGCCCAUCAAUUAAAGGGUCGGCAAUUAUUCUCAAAGCCUCCUCAUAAAUUGUUCAUUUCCCAGCUGUCUCAUUUUCAAGAUGUUUAAACUGUUUUAAAAGGGGAGGAAAGAUGCCAACUGUGCACAAGAAAAUUUCUUAAGCCUCAUGGUUCUUAGAUUGAUUUAUACACAUUUGGCAAGCAGGAAAAAAAACAUAAUUUUUAAGCACUGUGUUUUAAUUUAUUUUCCCCCACCUUGAUUUUGAACUACAAAGUAGAAUUACAAGAGUAAGAGGUGUAAAGUGCCACUUGCUCGAGCAUUCGAACUGGAACACGUACAAUGAAAAUAAAAUCUCAAAUGAUAGUUUUCGUUGUCAAAUGGCCACAUGAAAUACAUAUUUGAGAAAAAACAGAAAUCACCCACACGCCCACUGCUCUCACCAGACCGGUUUCAGGUAUGCAUGCUGACCUGCCUUGUCCAGGAGGUUAUUUUGAGAUUUAUAGUUUAUUAGGCAGUUAACAUCUUUAGCAUAUGCCUUAACCUGAGCACACCUGAUGGGAAGAAUUCUCCCUUUGGCUCCUGAAAGAUGUGCCCAUUGCAACUUGUAAGAGAGGGAAAAGGCCUCCCUUUGAAAAGCUCAGUUAUGCCUGAUAGCUCGUAAAGGCAAAUGAAACCAGGCAGUACGAGGCCGUCUUGGGACAGAGCGGGCCACCCAAACCACAGAUGCUCCCACCGGUCCAGAUGCCCAAGCUGUGCAGAACUGAGCUGCAAGGCCUCUCCUCCAGACCCACCUGGAACGGCACCUCUGACCCUGAGUAUGCCUCCUGGUCAUGGGUGGGUUGCAACCGCCCUCCCCUGCCCCCCCACGACUGCAAUUAUUCCCCUUCUCCUCUCACCAUGAACAUUCCCGAACCACCACCUGGUCCCACCUGCCUCGCAGCGUAGUCUUCAUUCAACGUUCAUCACCUUUUUAUAAAUAAAACAGGACACAAAAACACUGAGAGAUCCAAACCAGGGGGGUUUCCACUCUGAUUUAGGACCUCAAAUUCAAAAAUUCUCCAGGAGUUCUCUUGAGGGGUAGCGUGGUUAAGGAUCCGGCAUUGUCACUGCAGUGGUUUGGGUCGCUGCUGGUGUGGGGUAGGUUCAAUCCCUGGCCUGGGGACUUUCAUAUGCUGUGAUGCGGGGGUGGGGGGAGGAGCCCACAGCCUGGCUCCGUCCUCUUGGGGGGAGGGGGGAGGGGCAGGAGCUGGGCUCCUGGGGACAGAGGCCCCAAGCAGUCAGAAAAUGUGAUGGAUCUUACCAGGACCCUUUAAAAGAGCAAAACGGGCAUUGUGUGUUUACACACUUAACCAUUACAGAUGUUAUGAAUUUUCGUGAAACCCAGCAUUCAUAAAAGCAAAUGCUCCACUCUGGAGUUUUAAAUAAAAGAGCACAAGGAACAAGAAAUCGUUUUUCAGUGGAAGUCGGCUUCAGCAGAGACUGGAGAGAAGGUUUCUUUGUGAGCUCUGAAGGAAAAGUGGACCCGUUUCACUUUGGUUGAGAGGAAAACCUCAUAACUGAUGCUGGGCAAAGAGUCAAAGGGACGUUAAAAUAAAGAUACUCGGAGCUCACAGGCCCAGGGGCCUCGGCAUUGCCAGGACAUGGCUCACCACAGAGAUGCCCAUGGCAGGAGAUGAGGAAUAAACUUAGAGAUCUGACCAGACAAUGGGCUUCCUGGGGGAGCAGAGGCCAGGGACAGGGGGUGUUGAGCUUAUUUUGUCUUUACCAAAAUGCCUCCUCCAAUAGCCAGUGUGGCCAGACUUGACAGCCUGUGAGCAUUUGUGUAUCUGUGUGUAUAUGUGUCUGUGUCAACACGUGCGUCUGCCUAUAUGUCUGUGUCAGUGUCAAUAUGCGUAUCUGUGUGUGUCUGUGUGCCUAUACGUGUAUAUAGGUCUGUCUGUGUCUAUCUAUAUGUCCGGGGAGAGCAGGGCACUGGGGUGGUAUCUGAGCCCUGAAGCCGCUUUUCUCAGCCACAACACUACCUGGAGAUCGAGACAGGUUUAAUAGGAGGUCCCGUCGUGGCUCAGUGGUUAAUGAACCCGACUAGCAUCCAUGAGGAUGUGGGUUCAAUCCCUGGCUUCGCUCAGUGGAUUAAGGAUCUGGCGUUGCUGUGAGCUGUGGUGUAGGUCACAGGCAGGGCUGGGAUCCUGCUUUGUUGAGCUGAUCCAGCUCCAAUUUGACCCCUAACCUAGGAACCUCCAUACGCCGUGGGUGUGGCCUUAAAAAGACCAAUAAAUAAAUAAAUAAAUAGGUUUAAUAAAACGUUCCGUUUCCCACUCCCUUUUAUUUUAGGGUGCAAGCUGAACCAUACUCCUCUUUUUUCACAAGCAUGUUUCUUUCAUUGGCUCACAAAAGGCCUUGGUGACGUAAUGCAGUCAUCUAAGCUAUGCAUUUCUUUUGCAGCAUCAGUGCCUUUUAGAAGCUCUUCCACUGAACAGACAUUAAUAAAUUCCCUCGGCCUCAGAAAGCCCAAUUUUGGAACCUGGUAACAGGCCCUGAGACAGUCUCUGCCAGGUGCUGAGGCCAAAAGCUCUUCAUGAAAGUCAAUUUUAAAAGACUGUGCCCAUUGGUUUAUUUAAAGUGAUAAGAUUUUAAAUCCAGCUCCUAGACUUUCUACAGCGAGAUGGUAGGGACAUUUGCAAACAUCCCUAUUGAUUUCCACUCAAGAGCACUGGGUGGGGGGCUCCUAAGUGGUCUCCCUCCUCCCCCUGCCCCCAGGUCAGUGCCUGAGCUCUCCCAACAACCAGUGGCUCCUCCACGCUUCAGUUUCCAAAGCUGCACCCAACUGCUCUCAGAUGUGACUCGGUUCCUGGCCAGCGUUGCAGGUGCUCAGAGUUCCCGCUCCUGGGCAGCACCUCCGGAGCCCCAGAGAGGCCUGAUGCCACUCCCACCUGGCUGCCUGUUCUUGAACUUCCUCUUCCUACAUUAAGGGAGCCUCACGCACCAGAAGCCUGUGCAUUUUCCUCCACCCUCUAUGCAGAACCUAGCAGCUGUCGCCUGAGAGCCUCUGUCUGCGUUUCGCAAAGAGAAACCAGGGCACCUUCCUACCACCUGGCAGUGAAGUCCCUGCUGGGCCACGCCUCUCGCCAGAUGCUCAGUAACAGGCCAUGGAUCAGCAGCCCCAGCUGAUCAGCCAGACAGAGGGUUGGAAGGAAUGAAAGAAAGGCGAAGAAAAAUAAAGAGGAAAGACUGUCAAAAAUCAAGAUUUUUCCCAAGAUGGAAAGUUAGUGUUGACAAAGAUUUCUUAACCCUUCUCUCCCAAUUUCUCAGACACACACCUGGUCCUCAACCCUCAUGAAUAGCUGCUGUAGUUAUUACUAUUGCUGCUACAUGACUCAGGAAUGGCCAGUGCAUACACCCUGUGUGCCAGGUGCCAGGCCUGAUGCCAUCCCGUUUAAUUCCCGUUGACUCCACGGUUAACCUCUGCAAGACCUGAGGACACGGAGGCUGGGGCCUGCCUGCAGGAUGGCACUUGGCUGCCCACUAACAACCCACCUGAGGCCAGGCUGUGCUGGUCACCACCCCCUUCUCCUCAUCACCUAAGGGGAGCACAGCCAGGCCAUUUCUAAUCCCCUGCAGCUUCCCUGAAUCCAAGACAACGAGGAGAAAAAGCCCCUUUGGCCCAGACAGUCAGCUCCAUACAGUUCCCCUCGAGGGGCCUAGGAUGGAGCCAGGUGGGGACACAGACCAGACACCAGCAGGGCAUCAAGUGAGGAGCCUGGGAGGGCCCAGUGCCCUGAAGGAGGGCAGAGGUACCAGCCUGUCACUGCCACCCCAUUCCAGGACCCCAGGGGGGCCCUGCCCUGAUGGCCAUGUGUCCACUCAGUCUAGAGGCUCCCGAGCUACCUGCAUGCGGCUGGAGGAAAAAGGCACAGACAUCGCCAGGUUAUCUCAGCUCCUGACACCUCCUCUCGUGGCCUGUUCCUUCCCAUCCCUUGGAUCAAGAGGCCCACGGUGGAGCCCACCCUCCCCUCCAAGAAGACUUUCUGGAAGGGCUAUUCCGAUUGACACCAGAAGCCUUUGUGUGGAGAUUACAAAUUUAAAAGCGAACAGGCUGGGAUGAGAAUGGCAUCAUCCUGAGUGUGUCUAUAUGAGCACAAGUAGGUCAGAAUGGAGGGAGCACCUGCAGUUACCCAGGGAAUUCUGGGACAAACAGGAUGGCUGGGGGCCUGGGCAGGGGCCAGUGGGCGCACAGAGAGCCCCUAACCAACCACAGGCCUAAGGACCUACCCGGCUCCCAUCCCAGAGGGGCAUGCCACACUCCCCCAAGGUCAGGCAAGGGUGCAGGAGUGGGUCACAGCCCCACCUGGCCCUAUCCAGACAACUGGUUUAUCUCAACCUUACUGAUUGUUCUUAGUUCCCUCAUAAUACCUCCUGACAGCCCACAGCUCCUAUAAGAAAUCCUGGUCUAGACUGAGGUAGAGGGGGUGUUAUUACUUCAAUUCCCUACUGUCUUACAAGGAAAUGGACUUCCCUACGGGCUCUGCCCAAUCCCAUAAGCUUGCUCCCACUUAGCAAUUAUCACGCCCAUUGACUGCCCCCUAACCCGACUGCCAAGGCUGUGUCUUUCCACGUGUAGGUCAAUGUAUAUAAAAAAUCCACAGGCAGAUGGGAGCCUGGAACACCUGCUGCCAUCCUUCUCUCUUCCUGUCCCUCUUCCUGGAAAUUCUGGCCUCUCCCAGACACCAGGCAGAGUCCCUUUGUCCUGGGAGGUCAUCUCUGCCCACGGAUGGAGCUGUUUCAAAGAAGAUACCAGGAGUUCCCGCUGUGGUGCAACAGGAUCAGCACCUUCUCUGAAGCCCUGGUACAUAGGUUUGAUCCUUGGCCGGGCACCGUGGUUUAAGCAUCCUGCAGCUGGGAUCUGCUCCCUGAUCCAGGAACGCCAUACGCCGUGGGGCGGCCAGAAAGAAAGCAAGAAGGUACCAGAUCUAACUCGCCCUGAGCACAGUCAGCACGUGUUCCCUGGACAAAGCCGCAAGCCCACAGACCUGAGCCCACCUGAGGUGAGGAGGGUGGAAGGCUCAUGCUGAACCAAGGAUGAGAAGGAUGAGACGGAGGUUCAGGAGGUCUGGGUCUUGGGUACUGGGUCCCGGGUACUGGGUCCCAGGCCUCAGUUGGUCCCCCGUCCCAUUGGUAUAACAUCGUCACCUCGCGCACCUGCUACCACGGGAGCAGAAAGAGCCUCCAGCCCCAAAUCCACACCUGCCUGAUGGAAGAAAUUCAGACCACCUCAUCAUUGUCAUCGGUGGAGAAAAGCCACAUGACGUCAUGAUAUCAUUCCCAGAGGGAUCUUGUCAGGCCCAGAAUUGGACACAGAGGUGGGGACAUGAGACAGACACAUCCCCGCGGGGCUGGCCCUGCCCCUGCUUCUCUGAAGGCAGGAGAAUCCCCAACAUCAAAUUCGAGGGGCCCCGGUGAGUGAGAGAGGCAGCUUCCUAAACAGCUCAGUUCCCUGCACUUCCCAGCCGGCUGUCCACACAUCUCGCCCCAUCGGCACCUCCCUGCAGACCCGAGUCCUUUCAACAGCCACUCGCUGGCACUAAAGACCUUCCGCAAACUCUCCUCAAAUGUUUUCCAUCCCCGGAGUUGGGGAGGAAGCAGGGAGGGGUCCAUCGUUACUCUGAACGUUUUAGCCAGCUGCCCAGAGCCAAGAGCAUAAAUCAGAACGUGUUGUAGCGUUUCGGGGCAGAGGAAGUGGUGCUCCAGCUAAGCUCCCUACCGUUUCUUAAAGUGAUUAUUUUGAUUUAAACCGCUGCCUGGUGGCUAGACUCCUAGCUACCAGCUUCAGGCCGUUAGUACCGGGAGCCUGGAGCACAAAGAAACACUGUUGAUGGGUCCCAGGCCCCCUCCAGGAAGGCGCGGUGGGCUCUGGGCUCCGUUCCUUCCACAGACAGGCACUUGUUCCUUGCUGGGGGUGCUGCCACCGCUGCUGGCUCUGCCCAUCACUGUCACACACGCUGCGGUUUUGCUCGAGAUUUCUCAGAUUGUCUG
ensembl:lncRNA